UUGUGGAGAAGGACGCCGAAGGUGGGGCUGAUGACUGGGGUGAAGUCGUAACAAGGUAGCCGUACCGGAAGGUGCGGCUGGAUCACCUCCUAACAGGGAGACAAUAAAUUGAUUGUGAUGUCUAAGUUAUUUAUUCUUAGGCCGCAAUCCUGUCACCUUAAGGUCGAUCGGUACCUCAGAUUUUUGAACUAGUUUUAUAAUUGAUUCUUUGAUUUCAGUUCCUAAACUUGUCUAGGUCACACCCAACAAAGGUUUCUCCUGGGCCAUUAGCUCGGGUGGUUAGAGCGCACCCCUGAUAAGGGUGAGGUCCCUGGUUCAAGUCCAGGAUGGCCCAUUCGUUGUUGGGGGUAUAGCUCAGUUGGUAGAGCGCCUGCUUUGCAAGCAGGAUGUCAGCGGUUCGAGUCCGCUUACCUCCACUGAAAACUAUCCUGAUAACUAAAUUUCUGGAGAAAAAAAUUGUAGAUGUGGCUUAGAAUUGUCUAUUUGAAAAGAACCUAGCUUCUUGUCAUCUUUAUAUAGUUGAUAAAAUGCUGGGCUCGCAUGGAUUAUUUCCAUGAGAAUUCAGUAGAACCUUGAAAACUGCAUAGAUUAGAAAGAAUAAAGCAUCUCAUGGAUGCAUAGUUCUGUUUUUAUAAUUUAGCCUUAAAACUAAAUUAUUUAAUUCUAGAAUUCAUGUUUAAUUCUUGAGUAAUAGCCGAGCACAAUUGAUUUUGUGAUUGUAUUUAAGGUCAAGCUACAA
rnacentral:misc_RNA from 1 species